AGACGUCUACAUUAGAUACCCCGGUAGUCCCAGCCGUAAACUAUGCGCGUUAGGUGUAUCGGUGACCACGAGUUACCGAGGUGCCGAAGGGAAACCGUGAAACGUGCCGCCUGGGAAGUACGGUCGCAAGGCUGAAACUUAAAGGAAUUGGCGGGAAGCACCACAACAGGUGGAGCCUGCGGUUUAAUUGGACUCAACGCCGGGAAGCUCACCGGAUAGGACAGCAGAAUGAUUGCCGGGCUGAAGACCCUGCAUGACUAGCUG
rnacentral:rRNA from 1 species